UACAGAGGGUGCAAGCGUUAUUCGGAUUUACUGGGCGUAAAGGGCGCGUAGGCGGUCUAGUUAGUCUGUUGUGAAAGCCCUGGGCUUAAUCCAGGAAGUGCAGCGGAUACUGCUAGGCUCGAGUGCAGGAGAGGAGGACGGAAUUCCCGGUGUAGAGGUGAAAUUCGUAGAUAUCGGGAGGAACAACAGAAGCGAAGGCGGUUCUCUGGACUGUAACUGACGCUGAGGCGCGAAAGCGUGGGGAGCAAACAGG
rnacentral:rRNA from 1 species